AAUUGAUUCUUACUUAUGUUUUUCCAAACCACCAGAGCAGUUUACCAUUUCUGGGAAAAGAUGCAAUCAGGCACCAUUUCCCUUAAUGUCAGAAUGCAGAAUAAUGCUCAGAUGAAUUUUUCAAAGAAGGCACUUUUAUAUUUGUGCUGUCAAAUGGAGAAGCUGAUUAUCAGCUUUUUCUUUCUCUUACCUUAAAUAUUUACAUCUAGAAAUGUUAAGUGAAUUUGUUUUCCUUCCUUAGUGUGCUUGGUUUUGGCAAAAAAAAUGGGAUUUUACAUUGAUUUUUCUGGUUUGUUUGUGUUGGAGUAUAAAACCAGAAUGUAGAGCAGCUGGAAUUGGUUUGGGGGAUUUGUCAGUUACACUUGGAGGGCACCAUAUCUCAGUAUGGAACAAUGGGUGUGAAAUUCUGGAUCCAGCAGCAUCAGCAGCAAUACUUCCUUCAGUUUUCAUUACCUUUAUUAGAUAAGAAUAACAGAAUAACUUGUACUCUUUCAAGGUUUCUCCAAAAUAAGUGACUUCUUUGUGAUCAUCUCCAAACUGGAAGCUGCCUGACUCUGUUUGAGCUCCCAGCCACAGCAGCAACACCUGUGUUGGUGUGUGGAGACCCCUUCAUCACAGCCUGGGCUCAGGGUUUGCACAGGAGACCCCAAACCCCUCCUGCAGAUGGUGAUGAGAAAGGUGAAGUGAUGCAUCCCAGGCUCUGUCCCCACCAAAAGAUGCAGCUCCCGAGGCUCCAAUUUGACCAGUGGACCCACAGCUCUGCAGGAGCACUGUCUGCUGACACACACAGCCCCAGAGGAGCCCUGUGCCUGUCCCUGUGUGUGGCACACACACGUGGGCAUCUCCAGCAGCCUGAAUUCCAGCUCCUGCCUCUGCCAUCCCGGUGACAGCAGCACAUUUGCAUCUGGAGCCUCUGGCUGGCAGGGCUGCUGCUGAGGUUCUUCAAGGAGUGUGUGCCUUUGCAAAAAGCUGGAAGAAGCUGCACAGGAGGAUUUUCUCAUACAUAAGCUGAGGAAAAGGAUUAUCUGUGAAACAGCUAACAGUUUUUAUUUACUGUGAAAAUCUGAGUCUCACUCUCAAUUUCCCAUCAAGAUAAAAUGCAGGCAUUUGGUUAAAAUGGUAACUUAAUGCUCCAGAGGUUUAAUUACCACCACUCUAUAAUCAAAAUCAACACAGAGUGCAAGCUGUAGCUCCCAACUCCUACAAGAAAUGCAGCUUCCCACAAAGCAGUCAAUAAAAAGAAGAUAUAUAGCAUGUGCUUGGAUUUUGUGGUCCUUCCCACAGCUGAACUUGCAAAUCUGUUAUUGCUAAUGGUUUUCUUUCAAACCUCAGGUUCUCCCUUAGCUUUUAUCAAGAUCCAGAGCUCCUUAUUUCUAUAUUUUAACUUUCUCUGGGUAUAAUAUCUAUAUACAAGGUAAUGAAUUAAGGGGAUUUGCAGUGCUGGAAGCUAAAUUUCAAUAUUUUUU